rnacentral:rRNA from 1 species
UGGGGAAUAUUUGACAAUGGGUGAAAGCCUGAUCCAGCCAUGCCGCGUGUGUGAAGAAGGCCUUCUGGUUGUAAAGCACUUUAAGCGAGGAGGAGGCUACCGAGAUUAAUACUCUUGGAUAGUGGACGUUACUCGCAGAAUAAGCACCGGCUAACUCUGUGCCAGCAGCCGCGGUAAUACAGAGGGUGCGAGCGUUAAUCGGAUUUACUGGGCGUAAAGCGUGCGUAGGCGGCAUUUUAAGUCGGAUGUGAAAUCCCUGAGCUUAACUUAGGAAUUGCAUUCGAUACUGGGAAGCUAGAGUAUGGGAGAGGAUGGUAGAAUUCCAGGUGGAGCGGUGAAAUGCGUAGAGAGAAGGAGGAAGACCGAGGGCGAAGGCAGCCAUCUGGCCUAAUACUGACGCUGAGGUACGAAAGCAUGGGGAGCAAACAGA